rnacentral:rRNA from 1 species
UACGUAGGUGACAAACGUUGUCCGGAUUUACUGGGCGUAAAGAGCGCGCAGGCGGUCGAUCAAGUCGAGUGUGAAAGCCCCCGGCUCAACUGGGGAGGGUCAUUCGAUACUGAUCGACUCGAAGGCAGGAGAGGGUAGUGGAAUUCCCGGUGUAGUGGUGAAAUGCGUAGAUAUCGGGAGGAACACCAGUGGCGAAGGCGACUACCUGGCCUGUUCUUGACGCUGAGGCGCGAAAGCUAGGGGAGCAAACGGGG